rnacentral:rRNA from 1 species
GUAGGGAAUAUUGGACAAUGGGGGCAACCCUGAUCCAGCGACGCCGCGUGAGUGAUGAAGGCCUUCGGGUCGUAAAGCUCUGUUGCAGGGGAAGAACACAAUGACGGUACCCUGCUAGAAAGGAUCGGCUAACUUCGUGCCAGCAGCCGCGGUAAGACGAGGGAUCCUAGCGUUGUUCGGAAUUAUUGGGCGUAAAGCGGGUGCAGGUGGCUUGGUAAGUCAGAUGUGAAAGCCUGGGGCUUAACCCCAGAAGUGCAUUUGAUACUGCUGAGCUUGAGUGCUGGAGAGGCUAUUAGAAUUCCUGGUGUAGUGGUGAAAUACGUAGAUAUCAGGAGGAAUACCGGAGGCGAAGGCGGAUAGCUGGCCAGACACUGACACUCAGACCCGAAAGCGUGGGGAUCAAACAGGAUUAGAAACCCGAGUAGUCC